GAGUUUGAUCGUGGCUCAGGAUGAACGCUGGCGGCGUGCCUAAUACAUGCAAGUCGAGCGAACGGACGAGAAGCUUGCUUCUCUGAUGUUAGCGGCGGACGGGUGAGUAACACGUGGAUAACCUACCUAUAAGACUGGGAUAACUUCGGGAAACCGGAGCUAAUACCGGAUAAUAUUUUGAACCGCAUGGUUCAAAAGUGAAAGACGGUCUUGCUGUCACUUAUAGAUGGAUCCGCGCUGCAUUAGCUAGUUGGUAAGGUAACGGCUUACCAAGGCAACGAUGCAUAGCCGACCUGAGAGGGUGAUCGGCCACACUGGAACUGAGACACGGUCCAGACUCCUACGGGAGGCAGCAGUAGGGAAUCUUCCGCAAUGGGCGAAAGCCUGACGGAGCAACGCCGCGUGAGUGAUGAAGGUCUUCGGAUCGUAAAACUCUGUUAUUAGGGAGAACAUAUGUGUAAGUAACUGUGCACAUCUUGACGGUACCUAAUCAGAAAGCCACGGCUAACUACGUG
rnacentral:rRNA from 1 species